GAGUAGCGCCUCAGAUACGCUGCAAGAUUUUCAACCAAACUUUCGCAUGGCUCUCCAGAGUUAUUUAUAUAUUAAAGACGUGGACGAUAACACUUUACUUAUUUUACUUUACUGGUUUGGUGCUUUUACCACAAGACAUGGAAAGACAUGAGGAAAUGGCUUGGGCUGCAGCUGUUCACUGAAGGAAAGGUCUUAAAGGAGACAGACAUGACACACAGAAGAUCAUACAUGUCAUGCAUGCAUCGCAGAAGACCGAGGUGGGCAGCAAAAGGAUUCACAGUCUUCAUCUGACCUGCAGUAGCUGGGCUCUCGGGAUAACCAGUAACAUGUCCUCUCCCACUUCCUCUCCCUGACCCUCCUCUUGCAGGGUCACCAGCUCUUCCAUAGGCUUCGG